GACGAACGCUGGCGGCGUGCUUAACACAUGCAAGUCGAACGGAAAGGCCCUGCUUUUGUGGGGUGCUCGAGUGGCGAACGGGUGAGUAACACGUGAGUAACCUGCCCUUGUCUUUGGGAUAACUUCAGGAAACUGGGGCUAAUACCGGAUAGGAGCUCCUGCUGCAUGGUGGGGGUUGGAAAGUUUCGGCGGUUGGGGAUGGACUCGCGGCUUAUCAGCUUGUUGGUGGGGUAGUGGCUUACCAAGGCUUUGACGGGUAGCCGGCCUGAGAGGGUGACCGGCCACAUUGGGACUGAGAGACGGCCCAGACGCCUACGGGAGGCAGCAGUGGGGAAUAUUGCACAAUGGGCGGAAGCCUGAUGCAGCAACGCCGCGUGCGGGAUGACGGCCUUCGGGGUGUAAACCGCUUUCGCCUGUGACGAAGCGUGAGUGACGGUAAUGGGUAAAGAAGCACCGGCUAACUACGUG
rnacentral:rRNA from 1 species